CAUCUGCAGUUUACUCCUGCCUGGUGACGGCAUGAGGAAUAGGUGAAGCUCUCUUGGGAGGAUGGCAAGUAUGCGCUGAAAAGAGAACUCAGGUUUCUGCCUGGGCAAAAAGCUGUCUGAAGGUGUCACACAAUAUUCCGUAACAGGAUCAAUCUGGCUGCUCCAUUAAUUAUAAGGUUUCUAUUGAAUAAAGCUGUUUGGGCGACUGUGCUGGAGAAAGAGAGGGGAAAGGGAACCUUCAGAGAGGUGAAAGUACAAUGGCAGUCACUUUACGGGUAGCCUUACAAGUUUCAGGCUGAUAAGGAAGGACUGCACUGUGAGAAAAUGUGGCUCAACUUUCUCAGAUUCUGUGGAACAAUGGAGGCUAUAUACAAUGAAAAUGCAUUAAACAUUGGGAAAGUUUCUCCUUGAGGUGCCCUGAACGAUCUAUGAAUAAACGAGAACACGACCGUCCAAGACAUUCCAAAGAUCAUGUAACAGCAGCAAGAAUAUUAUUGGCCCAAAAAUGGAAGCAAG